rnacentral:antisense_RNA from 1 species
CUUGACCGAGCCGAGCCACAGCGGGCUGCCCUCGGGGCGCCCCUGGCCGUACGUGGCAAUGAUCGCCUGGGCCUC